rnacentral:rRNA from 1 species
GACGUAGGGCGCGAGCGUUGUCCGGAUUUAUUGGGCGUAAAGAGCUCGUAGGCGGCUUGUUGCGUCGACUGUGAAAACCUGCGGCUCAACCGUGUGGUCUGCAGUCGAUACGGGCAGGCUGGAGUUCGGUAGGGGAGACUGGAAUUCCUGGUGUGAGCGGUGAAAUGCGUAGAUAUCUGGAGGAACACCGGUGGCGAAGGCGGCAUCCUGGACCGGCAUUGACGCUGAGGCGCGAAAGCCAGGGGAGCAAACGGG